GACGAACGCUGGCGGCGUGCCUAAUACAUGCAAGUCGAACGCAGUGGGGACGGGUGAGUAACACGUGGGUAAUCUCCCAUCAGGGGGGAUAACACUUGGAAACAGGUGCUAAACCGAUACUGAUGGAUGGACCGGGGGUGAGUUAGCUAGUUGGUGAGGUAACGGCUCACCAAGGACACGAUGCAUAGCCGACCUGAGAGGGUGAUCGGCCACACGGGAACUGAGACACGGCCCAGACUCCUACGGGAGGCAGCAGUAGGGAAUCUUCGGCAAUGGACGAAAGUCUGACCGAGCAACGCGGCGUGAGUGAAGAAGGUUUUCGGAUCGUAAAGCUCUGUUGUUAGAGAAGCGGUAUCUAACCAGAAAGCCACGGCUAACUACGUGCCAGCAGCCGCGGUAAUAC
rnacentral:rRNA from 1 species